AUGAUUCGUGGGACGUCCUGCCGGUGGUGGCGAGUCGAAGGCGUGCUCCCGUCGUGGUUUCCACGUCGGUUCUUGCGCGCCCGAGGCGGACCCCGAUGAAAUCCUACCGCGGUGCUCUUAAUCGAGUGUCGAGGUGGGCCGGCACGUUUACUUUGAACAAAUUAGAGUGCUUAAAGCAGGCCUGUUGCGCCUGAAUACUGUGUGCAUGGAAUAAUGGAAUAGGACCUCGGUUCUAUUUUGUUGGUUUUCGGAACCCGAGGUAAUGAUUAAUAGGGACAGGCGGGGGCAUUCGUAUUGCGACGUUAGAGGUGAAAUUCUUGGAUCGUCGCAAGACGGACCGAAGCGAAAGCAUUUGCCAAGUAUGUUUUCAUUAAUCAAGAACGAAAGUUAGAGGUUCGAAGGCGAUCAGAUACCGCCCUAGUUCUAACCAUAAACGAUGCCAGCUAGCGAUCCGCCGAAGUUCCUCCGAUGACUCGGCGGGCAGCUCCCGGGAAACCAAAGCUUUUGGGUUCCGGGGGAAGUAUGGUUGCAAAGCUGAACUUAAAGGAAUUGACGGAAGG
rnacentral:rRNA from 1 species